GGAUGAUGCAAUGUCCAGCCAUCAACACAUUUGUGAAGGAAUUUUUACUCCCCAAAAGAGCGCCCCCCCAUGGCAGGACAAAAAAGUCAAUUUUUUCUUGUCCCCUAAGGUGAAAAUACACAUUGUUGAAUGUCACGCCUGUACGCUUUGUCAUAUUGACACAAAAUUUGACAAUCACGUGUAUCUCAAUAAGAUCUACGAAAAAGUCAAUGCGCGCGUAUCUGUAAAAUGUACGGUUAAAGGGCUAUUUCGCAUUUUUUGCCGAUUCGCACACAUUGGAAUGUGGCUAACUCCUCCUAAGGCUUUCGUCCCACUGACACCAAAUUUGCUCAGGCCAAUCUACACCCCAUGGCCAUUCAAAGUUGUAAAAAUCAUGACGCUGCACCCCAUGGUCUACGUUCUAGGGGGCGCCAAAGAGGACCCAAAUAUCCACAUUUUUAAAGUCUUAUAACUUUUUAUUUUUGUCCUCACUGGCCUCCAAGUUUUCUAGGAUGAUGCAAUGUCCAGCCAUCAACACAUUUGUGAAGGAAUUUUUUCUCCCCAAAAGAGCGCCCCCCAAUGGCAGAAGAAAAAGUCAAGUUUUUCCUGCCCAUCGCUCAAUGGCUCAAACGCAUCGCUCUCUGGGCAAAACCGAAAGGAGGAGCAACUUGCCAUUUGGAUAUAUACUAGCUGUGUUUGUGCCCUCACUCAUGGUCCAGACUUUUUUCAAAAAGGACAUGGAGUUUGUCUGCAGCGAGCGUUUUGGUAGAAACUGCGCCUCCCAUUCAUUAUAAUGGUAAAUGACCACAGACAAGUGCGCACACCAUCUUUGGACCUUGAGUGUGACGCGAUCGGGAGGGGUAGGCGGUCGCGCUGGGGGCGGCGUGACACGGCUCGGGCCCGCCAGUGCCCCACCGGGGCCCUAGUUCUUUCUUUCUUUCUUCUUUUUCCUCCCCUUUGAACUGGAAAAUGGCCCACUUCCCACUGGCGAAAACUCAUGAAAUUUGGCAGGACGACCGGGCCUGGUGAAAAAUUCGAUAUUCUGAAGUCGCCCAAACAAUAAAAUGCAAAAUGGCUCCAUAGCGCCCCCUAAGGUGGAAAUUCACACUAUUGACUGUCACGCCUGUACGCUUUGUCAUAUUGACACAAAAAUUGACACACAUAUGUAUCUCAAUAAGAUCUACAAAAAAGUCAGUGCGGCCGUAUCUGUCAAAUGUACGGUUAAAGGGUUAUUUCGCAUUUUUUGCCGAUCCGCACACAUUGGAAUUUCGCUAACUCCUCCGAAGGCUUUCGUUCCACCGGCACCACAUUUGCUCAGGCCAAUCUACACCCCGUGGCCAUUAAAAGUUAUCAAAAUCAUGACGCUGCACCCCAAGGUUUAGGUUCUAGGGGGCGCCAAAGAUAACACUAAAAUCCACAUAUUUCAAAGUCUUAUAACUUUUUAUUUUUGUCCCCACUGGCCUCCAAGUUUUCUAGGAUGAUGCAAUGUCCAGCCAUCAACACAUUUGUGAAGGAAUUUUUACUCGCCAAAAGAGCGCCCCCCCAUGGCAGGAGAAAAAAGUCCAUUUUUUCUUGUCCCCUAAGGUGAAAAUACACAUUGUUGACUGUCACGCCUUUACGCUUUGUCAAAAUGACACAAAAAUUGACACACACAUGUAACUCAAUAAGAUCUACGAAAAAGUCAAUGCGCGCGUAUCUGUCAAAUGUACGGUUAAAGGGUUAUUCCGCAUUUUUUGCCGAUCCGCACACAUUGGAAUUUCGCUAACUCCUCCGAAGGCUUUCGUUCCAACGGCACCACAUUUGCUCAGGCCAAUCUGCACCCCAUGGCCAUUAAAAGUUAUUCAAAUCAUGACGCUGCACCCCACGGUUUAGGUUCUAGGGGGCGCCAAAGACAACCCUAAAAUCCACAUAUUUCAAAGUCUUAUAACUUUUUAUUUUUGUCCUCACUGGCCUCCAAGUUUUCUAGGAUGAUGCAAUGUCCAGCCAUCAACACAUUUGUGAAGGAAUUUUUACUCCCCAAAAGAGCGCCCCCCCAUGGCAGGAGAAAAAAGUCCAUUUGUUCUUGUCCCCUAAGGUGAAAAUACAUAUUGUUGAGAUUCACGCCUAUACGCUUUGUCAUAUUGACACAAAAUUUGACACACAUAUGUAUCUCAAUAAGAUCUACAAAAAAGUCAGUGCGGCCGUAUCUGUCAAAUGUACGGUUAAAGGGUUAUUUCGCAUUUUUUGCCGAUCCGCACACAUUGGAAUUUCGCUAACUCCUCCGAAGGCUUUCGUUCCACCGGCACCACAUUUGCUCAGGCCAAUCUACACCCCGUGGCCAUUAAAAGUUAUUCAAAUCAUGACGCUGCACCCCACAGUUUAGGUUCUAGGGGGCGCCAAAGACAACCCUAAAAUCCACAUAUUUCAAAGUCUUAUAACUUUUUAUUUUUGUCCUCACUGGCCUCCAAGUUUUCUAGGAUGAUGCAAUGUCCAGCCAUCAACACAUUUGUGAAGGAAUUUUUACUCCCCAAAAGAGCGCCCCCCCAUGGCAGGAGAAAAAAGUCCAUUUGUUCUUGUCCCCUAAGGUGAAAAUACAUAUUGUUGAGAUUCACGCCUAUACGCUUUGUCAUAUUGACACAAAAUUUGACACACAUAUGUAUCUCAAUAAGAUCUACAAAAAAGUCAGUGCGGCCGUAUCUGUCAAAUGUACGGUUAAAGGGUUAUUUCGCAUUUUUUGCCGAUCCGCACACAUUGGAAUUUCGCUAACUCCUCCGAAGGCUUUCGUUCCACCGGCACCACAUUUGCUCAGGCCAAUCUACACCCCGUGGCCAUUAAAAGUUAUCAAAAUCAUGACGCUGCACCCCAAGGUUUAGGUUCUAGGGGGCGCCAAAGAUAACACUAAAAUCCACAUAUUUUAAAGUCUUAUAACUUUUUAUUUUUGUCCUCACUGGCCUCCAAGUUUUCUAGGAUGAUGCAAUGUCCAGCCAUCAACACAUUUGUGAAGGAAUUUUUACUCCCCAAAAGAGCGCCCCCCCAUGGCAGGAGAAAAAAGUCCAUUUUUUCUUGUCCCCUAAGGUGAAAAUACACAUUGUUGACUGUCACGCCUUUACGCUUUGUCAAAAUGACACAAAAAUUGACACACACAUGUAACUCAAUAAGAUCUACGAAAAAGUCAAUGCGCGCGUAUCUGUCAAAUGUACGGUUAAAGGGUUAUUCCGCAUUUUUUGCCGAUCCGCACACAUUGGAAUUUCGCUAACUCCUCCGAAGGCUUUCGUUCCAACGGCACCACAUUUGCUCAGGCCAAUCUACACCCCAUGGCCAUUAAAAGUUAUUCAAAUCAUGACGCUGCACCCCACGGUUUAGGUUCUAGGGGGCGCCAAAGACAACCCUAAAAUCCACAUAUUUCAAAGUCUUAUAACUUUUUAUUUUUGUCCUCACUGGCCUCCAAGUUUUCUAGGAUGAUGCAAUGUCCAGCCAUCAACACAUUUGUGAAGGAAUUUUUACUCCCCAAAAGAGCGCCCCCCCAUGGCAGGAGAAAAAAGUCCAUUUUUUCUUGUCCCCUAAGGUGAAAAUACAUAUUGUUGAGAUUCACGCCUAUACGCUUUGUCAUAUUGACACAAAAUUUGACAAUCACGUGCCUUGCCUGGUAUCAUUUUUUUUCAGCACAACCUCACCUGUGCGAAUUUACAGUUAUUUUAUCAUGUUGACAUACUGAAUUUACACAAUGGACCCAAAUUCACACACAAAACAUAAAAUCCGAGUGGAAAAAAGUAACAUUUUUACUGUGAAAACCACAAAUAUGUGUGAUGAACUGUUUUUAAAACUUAAACUUCACAUAAAAAUUGUAAACCUCAAAACAUAUGCAAAUUUUUAACAAAGAACAUAGUGAUUUACCUCUAUUUACAUCAAAAUGCAGGCAAUGGCCCAGGCGUUCUUUGUAAAAUUAUUUACAAAACAGUAGUGUAAAGUGUCUAUGGCACAAAAAAAAAAAAAAACUGAAAAUGCCUCAACAUGAACCCCUGGUGGUCUCUGAGGGUGAAACCUGCUAACUGCUGCAGCUCUGUCAGCUUCAGUCUCCCAUGCAGAGCUCGGAGCGCAUGUGUGGCUCUGCACCCUUAGCAGCGUUGCUAACUCCUCAGUAAGGAAAGCCUGCUUCAUGUCUGAGUCUCUAAACUCCAGAAGAAGUCGAUAAAAGUCCCUUUCUUUCUAAAAAAAAGUCGUUAGGGGGUCUGAAAAGUCAUUGAAUCUAACAACAAAGUCGCUAGGUUUGCAACUACGUGUCCCAGACUGCAUCCCUGCUGAGAGUCCCUCCCUCCCUUCUCAUGUUGCAGGAAGAACGUAAGCGCCCGCCCCUUCUCAAUCAGUCACCAUAUAAUUUUGGAUUGGUUGUUGUGGUGAAGUUUUCCACCAAUAGGAGAGAUGUUGUGGUGUGUUUUUUUUUCUUUUGGCAAGCCUUUUCCGCCUGUAAGACCUGUCGCUAAUGUCUGCAUGCUAUGUUUUCCUGUCUCAUACAGCGCGAUCGAGCGCCGAACGUGAUCAAAAUAAGCAGAAAAAAAGUAUCGCGGACAUAAUUUAUCAUAACUCUGGUUUUAUUUGGCCUAUCAACACAAUUUAAAAACUGGUAUAUAGGUUGAGGUCCUCACUUUUGAGAUAAGUUGAAACGGAGAGUCAACGAGGCUCCGUCUUGCAGCUACAUCCGGUUAAAUAUGUCAUGUGACUUGAACGCACACACAGACACACACACACGCACACACACACACACACACACACACACACACACACACACACACACACACACACUCAGAGUCUGGUUUUUAGCACCUGCAAAAACAUGCUAUUUACAUAUUUGACAAGAAUGCAGAGGCUCCUUUUGCCCCUGAAAAAAAUCAAAUUUCAAACACAACUUGACUGGUCAUUUCUCCAAAAGACAACCAUGAAGCUCCAUCCAAACCUGAAGCAGGCAGUUGGUGCAUGUGUACAGUAACCUGAGGGGAGUGAGGUGAGUGCUUCUGAGGAGAACAUGAGCAGUGAAGAUUCACCUUGGAGCUAGAACAGAGACAUGCACAUGAUUAUACAGGGGCAGGGGCUCAAGUUUUUUCCAGUCGUUUAUACAAUAUGGAAAUUAAUGUGAAAUUAAAACACAAAGUAUUAAUAGAAAGGUAAUGACUGUCCUGUGUAGGUGACAGUGAUAUCCAAUAGGCUAGGCACUCACGAGGCUGGCUGUGGCAAGUGUAAGUGAAAGCAACACGCACUGGCAGGAAGAACAGCAAACGCCGAUGAAGGAAAAGGGUCUUUGCAGUGAUGGGCGUUACCAGAGAGGGCGAUGGCCAGAGGACACAAAUGGGACGGGGAGGCAGCACGUUGGGGGGGGAAGGCGACACGGCUCGGGCCCGCCAGUGCCCCAACGGGGUCCUAGUUAGGGCCCGAGCGUAGCUGCUAAGCAGCUGCGAGAGCCCUCUUGUUCCUGAUGGAUUCUUCUUUUUAGGGCCCGAGCGUAGCUGCUAAGCAGCUGCGAGAGCCCUAUUAUUCCCCAAGUGGUUUUUCUUUGUUUCUUUCUUUAGGGCCCGAGCCAGCUGCAGAGCAGCCGGGCGUAGGCCCUAUUAUUCCCCAAGUGGUUUUUCUUUGUUUCUUUCUUUCUUUCUUUCUUUCUUUCUUCUUUUUCCUCCCCUUUGAACUGGAAAAUGGCCCACUUCCCACUGGCGAAAACUCAUGAAAUUUGGCAGGACGACCGGGCCUGGUGAAAAAUUCGAUAUUCUGAAGUCGCCCAAACAAUAAAAUGCAAAAAGGCUCCAUAGCGCCCCCUAAGGUGGAAAUUCACACUAUUGACUGUCACGCCUGUACGCUUUGUCAUAUUGACACAAAAAUUGACACACAUAUGUAUCUCAAUAAGAUCUACAAAAAAGUCAGUGCGGCCGUAUCUGUCAAAAUUACGGUUAAAGGGUUAUUUUGCAUUUUUUGCCGAUCCGCACACAUUGGAAUUUCGCUAACUCCUCCGAAGGCUUUCGUUCCACCGGCACCACAUUUGCUCAGGCCAAUCUACACCCCGUGGCCAUUAAAAGUUAUCAAAAUCAUGACGCUGCACCCCAAGGUUUAGGUUCUAGGGGGCGCCAAAGAUAACACUAAAAUCCACAUAUUUAAAAGUCUUAUAACUUUUUAUUUUUGUCCUCACUGGCCUCCAAGUUUUCUAGGAUGAUGCAAUGUCCAGCCAUCAACACAUUUGUGAAGGAAUUUUUACUCCCCAAAAGAGCGCCCCCCAUGGCAGGAGAAAAAAGUCCAUUUUUUCUUGUCCCCUAAGGUGAAAAUACACAUUGUUGAGUGUCACGCCUAUACGCUUUGUCAAAAUGACACAAAAAUUGACACACACAUGUAUCUCAAUAAGAUCUACAAAAAAGUCCAUGCGCGCGUAUCUGUCAAAUGUACAGUUAAAGGGUUAUUCCGCAUUUUUUGCCGAUACGCACACAUUGGAAUUUCGCUAACUCCUCCGAAGGCUUUCGUUCCACCGGCACCACAUUUGCUCAGGCCAAUCUACACCCCAUGGCCAUUAAAAGUUAUUCAAAUCAUGAUGCUGCACCCCAUGGUUUAGGUUCUAGGGGGCGCCAAAAAUAACCCAAAAAUCCACAUUCUUAAAUGUUUUAUAACUUUUUUUUUUUUAUCCUCACUGGCCUCCAAGUUUUCUAGGAUGAUGCAAUGUCCAGCCAUCAACACAUUUGUGAAGUAAUUUUUACUCCCCAAAAGAGCGCCCCCCCAUGGUAGGAGAAAAAAGUCAAUUUUUUCUUGUCCCCUUACAUAAAAAUACACAUUGUUGAGUGUCACGCCUGAACGCUUUGUCAUAUUGACACAAAAAUUGACAAUCAUGUGUAUCUCAAUUAGAUCUACGAAAAAGUCAAAGAGCGCGUAUCUGUAUAAUGUACGGUUAAAGGGCUAUUUUGCAUUUUUUGCCGAUUCGCACACAUUGGAAUGUGGCUAUCUCCUCCUAAGGCUUUCGUCCCACCGAUACCAAAUUUGCUCAGGCCAAUCUACACCCCAUGGCCAUUCAAAUUUGUAAAAAUCAUGACGCUGCACCCCACGGUUUACGUUCUAGGGGGCGCCAAAGAUGACCCAAAAAUCCACAUUCUUAAAAGUCAUUUUGGCCACUGCAGGAGUACAGAGUACUGCAGUUCUAGGGGGCGCCAAAGAUGACCCAAAAAUCCACAUUCUUAAAAGUCUUUUUGGCCACUGCAGGAGUACAGCGUACUGCAGGAUACACACACACAUACACACACGCCAACAUACACACACACACACACACACACACACACACACACACACUCACACACUCAGAGUCUGUUUUUUAGCACCUGCAAAAACAUGCUGUUUACAUAUUUGACAAGAAUGCAGAGGCUUCCUUUUGCCCCUGAAAAAAAAUCAAAUUUCAAACACAACUUGACUGUUCAUUUCUCCAAAAGACAACCAUGAAGCUCCAUUUCAAACCUGAAGCAGAUAGUUGGUGCAUGUGUACAGUAACCUGAGGGGAGUGAGGUGACUAUUUCUGAGGAGAACAUGAGCAGUGAAGAUUCACCUUGGAGCUAGAACAGGGACGUGCACAUGAUUAUACAGGGGCAGGGGCUCAAGUUUUUUCCAGUCAUUUAUACAAUAUGGAAAUUAAUGUGAAAUUAAACCACAAAUAUGUGUGAUGAACUGUUUUUAAAACUUAAACUUCAAAUAAAAAUUGUAAACUUCAAAACAUAUGCAAAUUUUUAACAAAGAACAUAGUAAUUUACCUCUAUUUACAUCAAAAUGCAGGCAAUGGCCCAGGCGUUCUUUGUAAAAUUAUUUACAAAACACUGUAUAGUCUCACAAAUGUCACUUUUUAUUUAUGCCACUACAAAAAAACAUGAUGUAAAUGAUGCAUGAUGUAAAACAUGAUGUAAAAAACUUGUGUAGAUCCUCCUCUAUGUCAGUCCAUGUGUAAUUUUUCCAUAAUUCUUUGUUUUUUGCAGCAUUUUUGUUAGUGUAACUGCAGAUUGUGCUGACAGUGUCUAUGGCACAAAAAAAAAAAAAAAUUAAAAUGCCUCAACAUGAACCCCUGGUGGUCUCUGAGGGUGAAACCUGCUAACUGCUGCAGCUCUGUCAGCUUCAGUCUCCCAUGCAGAGCUCUGAGCGCAUGUGUGGCUCUGCACCCUUAGCAGCGUUGCUAACUCCUCAGUAAGGAAAGCCUGCUUCAUGUCAGAGUCUCUAAACUCCAGAAGAAGUCGAUAAAAGUCCCUUUCUUUCUAAAAAAAAGUCGUUAGGGGGUCUGAAAAGUCAUUGAAUCUAACAACAAAGUCGCUAGGUUUGCAACUACGUGUCCCAGACUGCAUCCCUGCUGAGAGUCCCUCCCUCCCUUCUCAUGUUGCAGGAAGAACGUAAGCGCCCGCCCCUUGUCAAUCAGUCACCAUAUAAUUUUGGAUUGGUUGUUGUGGUGAAGUUUUCCACCAAUAGGAGAGAUGUUGUGGUGUGUUUUUUUUUUCUUUUGGCAAGCCUUUUCCGCCUGUAAGACCUGUCGCUAAUGUCUGCAUGCUAUGUUUUCCUGUCUCAUACAGCGCGAUCGAGCGCCGAACGUGAUCAAAAUAAGCAGAAAACAAGUAUCGCGGACAUAAUUUAUCAUAACUCUGGUUUUAUUUGGCCUAUCAACACAAUUUAAAAACUGGUAUAUAGGUUGAGGUCCUCACUUUUGAGAUAAGUUGAAACGGAGAGUCAACGAGGCUCCGUCUUGCAGCUACAUCCGGUUAAAUAUGUCAUGUGACUUGAACGCACACAUAGACACACACACACGCACACACACACACACACACACACACACACACACACACACACACACACACUCAGAGUCUGGUUUUUAGCACCUGCAAAAACAUGCUAUUUACAUAUUUGACAAGAAUGCAGAGGCUCCUUUUGCCCCUGAAAAAAAUCAAAUUUCAAACACAACUUGACUGGUCAUUUCUCCAAAAGACAACCAUGAAGCUCCAUCCAAACCUGAAGCAGGCAGUUGGUGCAUGUGUACAGUAACCUGAGGGGAGUGAGGUGAGUGCUUCUGAGGAGAACAUGAGCAGUGAAGAUUCACCUUGGAGCUAGAACAGAGACAUGCACAUGAUUAUACAGGGGCAGGGGCUCAAGUUUUUUCCAGUCGUUUAUACAAUAUGGAAAUUAAUGUGAAAUUAAAACACAAAGUAUUAAUAGAAAGGUAAUGACUGUCCUGUGUAGGUGACAGUGAUAUCCAAUAGGCUAGGCACUCACGAGGCUGGCUGUGGCAAGUGUAAGUGAAAGCAACACGCACUGGCAGGAAGAACAGCAAACGCCGAUGAAGGAAAAGGGUCUUUGCAGUGAUGGGCGUUAACAGAGAGGGCGAUGGCCAGAGGACACAAAUGGGACGGGGAGGCAGCACGUUGGGGGGGGGGGGGGGGGACACGCGACACGGCUCGGGCCCGCCAGUGCCCCAACGGGGUCCUAGUUAGGGCCCGAGCGUAGCUGCUAAGCAGCUGCGAGAGCCCUAUUAUUCCCCAAGUGGUUUUUCUUUGUUUCUUUUUAGGGCCCGAGCCAGCUGCAGAGCAGCCGGGCGUAGGCCCUAUUAUUCCCCAAGUGGUUUUUCUUUGUUUCUUUCUUUCUUUCUUUCUUCUUUUUCCUCCCCGUUGAACUGGAAAAUGGCCCACUUCCCACUGGCGAAAACUCAUGAAAUUUGGCAGGACGACCGGGCCUGGUGAAAAAUUCGAUAUUCUGAAGUCGCCCAAACAAUAAAAUGCAAAAUGGCUCCAUAGCGCCCCCUAAGGUGGAAAUUCACACUAUUGACUGUCACGCCUGUACGCUUUGUCAUAUUGACACAAAAAUUGACACACAUAUGUAUCUCAAUAAGAUCUACAAAAAAGUCAGUGCGGCCGUAUCUGUCAAAAUUACGGUUAAAGGGUUAUUUCGCAUUUUUUGCCGAUCCGCACACAUUGGAAUUUCGCUAACUCCUCCGAAGGCUUUCGUUCCACCGGCACCACAUUUGCUCAGGCCAAUCUACACCCCAUGGCCAUUAAAAGUUAUUCAAAUCAUGACGCUGCACCCCACGGUUUAGGUUCUAGGGGGCGCCAAAGAUAACCGUAAAAUCCACAUAUUUAAAAGUCUUAUAACUUUUUAUUUUUGUCCCCACUGGCCUCCAAGUUUUCUAGGAUGAUGCAAUGUCCAGCCAUCAACACAUUUGUGAAGGAAUUUUUACUCGCCAAAAGAGCGCCCCCCCAUGGCAGGAGAAAAAAGUCCAUUUUUUCUUGUCAACUAAGGUGAAAAUACACAUUGUUGAGUGCUACGCCUGUAUGUUUUGUCGUAUUGACACAAAAUUUUACAUACACGUGUAUUUCAAUAAGAUCUUCGAAAAAGUCAAUGGCCACGUAUCUGUAAAAUGUACGGUUAAAGGGUUAUUUCGCAUUUUUUGCAGAUUCGCACACAUUGGAAUUUCGCUAACUCCUCCAAAGGCUUUCGUUCCACCGGCACCACAUUUGCUCAGGCCAAUCUACACCCCAUGGCCAUUAAAAGUUAUUCAAAUCAUGACGCUGCACCCCACGGUUUAGGUUCUAGGGGGCGCCAAAGAUAACCCUAAAAUCCACAUAUUUAAAAGUCUUAUAACUUUUUAUUUUUGUCCUCACUGGCCUCCAAGUUUUCUAGGAUGAUGCAAUGUCCAGCCAUCAACACAUUUGUGAAGGAGUUUUUUCUCGUUAAAAGAGCGCCCCCCCAUGGCAGGAGAAUAAAGUCAAGUUUUUCCUGUUCAUCAUUCAAUGGCUCAAACGCACUGCUCUCUCGGCAAAAGCGAAAGGAGGAGCAACUUGCCAUUUGGAUAUAUCUUAGCUGUGUUUGUGCCCUCACUCAUGGUCCAGAUUUUUUUCAAAUAGGACAUGGAGUUUUUCUGCAGCGAGCGUUUUGGUAGAAACUGCGCCUCCCGUUCAUUAUAAUGGUAAAUGACCACAAACAAGUGCGCACACCAUCUUUGGACCUUGAGUGUGACGCGAUCGGGUGGGGGAGGCGGUCGCGCUGGGGGCGGCGUGACACGGCUCGGGCCCGCCAGUGCCCCAACGGGGCCCUAGUUAGGGCCCGAGCGUAGCUGCUAAGCAGCUGCGAGAGCCCUCUUGUUCCUGCAUGUUUCCUUCUUUUGUUAUUAUUAUUAUUUUUCCUCCCCUUUGAACUGGAAAAUGGCCCACUUCCCACUGGCGAAAACUCAUGAAAUUUGGCAGGACGACCGGGCCUGGUGAAAAAUUUGAUAUUCCGAAGUCGCCCAAACAAGAAAAUGCAAAAUGGCUCCAUAGCGCCCCCUAAGGUGAAAAUUCACACUAUUGACUGUCACGCCUGUACGCUUUGUCAAAAUGACACAAAAAUUGACACACACAUGUAUCUCAAUAAGAUCUACAAAAAAGUCAGUGCGGCCGUAUCUGUCAAAUGUACGGUUAAAGGGUUAUUUCGCAUUUUUUGCCGAUCCGCACACAUUGGACUUUCGCUAACUCCUCCGAAGGCUUUCGUUCCACCGGCACCACAUUUGCUCAGGCCAAUCUACACCCCAUGGCCAUUAAAAGUUAUUCAAAUCAUGACGCUGCACCCCACGGUUUAGGUUCUAGGGGGCGCCAAAGAUAACCCUAAAAUCCACAUAUUUAAAAGUCUUAUAACUUUUUAUUUUUGACCUCACUGGCCUCCAAGUUUUCUAGGAUGAUGCAAUGUCCAGCCAUCAACACAUUUGUGAAGGAAUUUUUAAUCCCCAAAAGAGCGCCCCCCAUGGCUGGAGAAAAAAGUCAAUUUUUUCUUGUCCCCUAAGGUGAAAAUACACAUUGUCGAGUGUCACGCCUGUACGCUUUGUCAUAUUGACACAAAAUUUGACACACACAUGUAUCUCAAUAAGUUCUACGAAAAAGUCAAUGCGCGCGUAUCUGUCAAAUGUACGGUCAAAGGGUUAUUCCGCAUUUUUUGCCGAUCCGCACACAUUGGACUUUCGCUAACUCCUCCGAAGGCUUUCGUUCCACCGGCACCACAUUUGCUCAGGCCAAUCUACACCCCAUGGCCAUUAAAAGUUAUUCAAAUCAUGACGCUGCACCCCACGGUUUAGGUUCUAGGGGGCGCCAAAGAUAACCCUAAAAUCCACAUAUUUAAAAGUCUUAUAACUUUUUAUUUUUGACCUCACUGGCCUCCAAGUUUUCUAGGAUGAUGCAAUGUCCAGCCAUCAACACAUUUGUGAAGGAAUUUUUAAUCCCCAAAAGAGCGCCCCCCCAUGGCUGGAGAAAAAAGUCAAUUUUUUCUUGUCCCCUAAGGUGAAAAUACACAUUGUCGAGUGUCACGCCUGUACGCUUUGUCAUAUUGACACAAAAUUUGACACACACAUGUAUCUCAAUAAGUUCUACGAAAAAGUCAAUGCGCGCGUAUCUGUCAAAUGUACGGUCAAAGGGUUAUUCCGCAUUUUUUGCUGAUCCGCACACAUUGGAAUUUCGCUAACUCCUCCUAAGGCUGGCGUUCCACCGGCACCACAUUUGCUCAGGCCAAUCUACACCCCAUGGCCAUUAAAAGUUAUUCAAAUCAUGACGCUGCACCCCACGGUUUAGGUUCUAGGGGGCGCCAAAGAUAACCCUAAAAUCCACAUAUUUCAAAGUCUUAUAACUUUUUAUUUUUGUCCUCACUGGCCUCCAAGUUUUCUAGGAUGAUGCAAUGUCCAGCCAUCAACACAUUUGUGAAGGAAUUUUUACUCCCCAAAAGAGCGCCCCCCCAUGGCAGGAGAAAAAAGUCCAUUUUUUCUUGUCCCAUAAGGUGAAAAAACACAUUGUUGACUGUCAUACCUGUACGCUUUGUCAUAUUGACACAAAAUUUGACAAUCACAUGUAUCUCAAUAAGAUCUACGAAAAAGUCAAUGCGCGCGUAUCUGUAAAAUGUACGGUUAAAGGGCUAUUUUGCAAUUUUUGCCGAUUCGCACACAUUGGAAUGUGGCUAACUCCUCCUAAGGCUUUCGUCCCACUGACACCAAAUUUGCUCAGGCCAAUCUACACCCCAUGGCCAUUCAAAGUUGUAAAAAUCAUGACGCUGCACCCCACGGUUUACGUUCUAGGGGGCGCCAAAGAUGACCCAAAUAUCCACAUUCUUAAAAGAAUCCACAUCCCCCCCCCCCAUCCCCCAACCCCCAUGGCAGGAGAAACAGUCAAGUUUUUCCUGCCCAUCACUCAAUGGCUCAAUCGCAUCACUCUCCCGGCAACACCGUAACAAGGAGCAACUUGCCGUUUGGAUAUAUCCUAGCUGUGUUUGUGCCCUCACUCAUGGUCCAGACUUUUUUCAAAUAGGACAUGUAGUUUGUCUGCAGCGAGUGUUUUGGUAGAAACUGCGCCUCCCAUUCAUUAUAAUGGGAAAUGACCACAGACAAGUGCGCACACCAUCUUUGGACCUUGAGUGUGACGCGAUCGGGAGGGGGAGGCGGUCGCGCUGGGGGCGGCGCAACGUGGCUCGGGCCCGACAGUGCCCCACCGGGGCCCUAGUGUUCUCCUUGUUUUUGUUCCUGCAUUUCAACUUCUCCUUGUGUCUAGUCUUCUCAUUUUUAGGGCCCGAGCGUAGCUGCUAAGCAGCUGCGAGAGCCCUCUUGUUCCUGUAGUUUCCUUCUUUUGUUAUUAUUAUUAUUAUUUUUCCUCCCCUUUGAACUGGAAAAUGGCCCACUUCCCACUGGCGAAAACUCAUGAAAUUUGGCAGGACGACCGGGCCUGGUGAAAAAUUUGAUAUUCCGAAGUCGCCCAAACAAGAAAAUGCAAAAUGGCUCCAUAGCGCCCCCUAAGGUGAAAAUUCACACUAUUCACUGUCACGCCUGUACGCUUUGUCAAAAUGACACAAAAAUUGACACACACAUGUAUCUCAAUAAGAUCUACAAAAAAGUCAGUGCGGGCGUAUCUGUCAAAUGUACGGUUAAAGGGUUAUUUCGCAUUUUUUGCCGAUCCGCACACAUUGGAAUUUCGCUAACUCCUCCGAAGGCUUUCGUUCCACCGGCACCACAUUUGCUCAGGCCAAUCUACACCCCAUGGCCAUUAAAAGUUAUUCAAAUCAUGACGCUGCACCCCACGCUUUAGGUUCUAGGGGGCGCCAAAGAUAACCCUAAGAUCCACAUAUUUAAAAGUCUUAUAACUUUUUAUUUUUGCCCUCACUGGCCUCCAAGUUUUCUAGGAUGAUGCAAUGUCCAGCCAUCAACACAUUUGUGAAGGAAUUUUUACUCCCCAAAAGAGCGCCCCCCAUGGCAGGAGAAAAAAGUCCAUUUUUUCUUGUCCCCUAAGGUGAAAAUACACAUUGUUGAGUGUAACACCUGUACGCUUUGUCAAAAUGACACAAAAAUUGACACACACAUGUAUCUCAAUAAGAUCUACAAAAAAGUCAAUGCGCGCGUAUCUGUCAAAUGUACGGUUAAAGGGUUAUUCCGCAUUUUUUGCCGAUCCGCACACAUUGGAAUUUCGCUAACUCCUCCAAAGGCUUUCGUUCCACCGGCACCACAUUUGCUCAGGCCAAUCUACACCCCAUGGCCAUUAAAAGUUAUUCAAAUCAUGACGCUGCACCCCACGCUUUAGGUUCUAGGGGGCGCCAAAGAUAACCCUAAGAUCCACAUAUUUAAAAGUCUUAUAACUUUUUAUUUUUGCCCUCACUGGCCUCCAAGUUUUCUAGGAUGAUGCAAUGUCCAGCCAUCAACACAUUUGUGAAGGAAUUUUUACUCGGCAAAAGAGCGCCCCCCAUGGCAGGAGAAAAAAGUCCAUUUUUUCUUGUCCACUAAGGUGAAAAUACACAUUGUUGAGUGCUACGCCUGUAUGUUUUGUCGUAUUGACACAAAAUUUUACAUACACGUGUAUUUCAAUAAGAUCUUCGAAAAAGUCAAUGGCCACGUAUCUGUAAAAUGUACGGUUAAAGGGUUAUUUCGCAUUUUUUGCAGAUUCGCACACAUUGGAAUUUCGCUAAUUCCUCCGAAGGCUUUCGUUCCACCGGCACCACAUUUGCUCAGGCCAAUCUACACCCCAUGGCCAUUAAAAGUUAUUCAAAUCAUGACGCUGCACCCCACGGUUUAGGUUCUAGGGGGCGCCAAAUAUAACCCUAAAAUCCACAUAUUUAAAAGUCUUAUAACUUUUUAUUUUUGUCCUCACUGGCCUCCAUGUUUUCUAGGAUGAUGCAAUGUCCAGCCAUCAACACAUUUGUGAAGGAGUUUUUUCUCUUUAAAAGAGCGCCCCCCAUGGCAGGAGAAUAAAGUCAAGUUUUUCCUGUUCAUCAUUCAAUGGCUCAAACGCACUGCUCUCUCGGCAAAAGCGAAAGGAGGAGCAACUUGCCAUUUGGAUAUAUCUUAGCUGUGUUUGUGCCCUCACUCAUGGUCCAGACUUUUUUCAAAUAGGACAUGGAGUUUUUCUGCAGCGAGCGUUUUGGUAGAAACUGCGCCUCCCGUUCAUUAUAAUGGUAAAUGACCACAAACAAGUGCGCACACCAUCUUUGGACCUUGAGUGUGACGCGAUCGGGUGGGGGAGGCGGUCGCGCUGGGGGCAGUGUGACACGGCUCGGGCCCGCCAGUGCCCCAACGGGGCCCUAGUUUCUUUUUCCUCCCCUUUGAACUGGAAAAUGGCCCACUUCCCACUGGCGAAAACUCAUGAAAUUUGGCAGGACGACCGGGCCUGGUGAAAAAUUUGAUAUUCUGAAGUCGCCCAAACAAUACAAUGCAAAAUGGCUCCAUAGCGCCCCCUAAGGUGAAAAAUUCACCUGACGCCUGUACGCUUUGUCAAAAUGACACAAAAAUUGACACACACAUGUAUCUCAAUAAGAUCUACAAAAAAGUCAGUGCGGGCGUAUCUGUCAAAUGUACGGUUAAAGGGUUAUUGCGCAUUUUUUGCCGAUCCGCACACAUUGGAAUUUCGCUAACUCCUCCGAAGGCUUUCGUUCCACCGGCACCACAUUUGCUCAGGCCAAUCUACACCCCAUGGCCAUUAAAAGUUAUUCAAAUCAUGACGCUGCACCCCACGGUUUAGGUUCUAGGGGGCGCCAAAGAUAACCCUAAAAUCCACAUAUUUCAAAGUCUUAUAACUUUUUAUUUUUGCCCUCACUGGCCUCCAAGUUUUCUAGGAUGAUGCAAUGUCCAGCCAUCAACACAUUUGUGAAGGAAUUUUUACUCCCCAAAAGAGCGCCCCCCCAUGGCAGGAGAAAAAAGUCCAUUUUUUCUUGUCCCAUAAGGUGAAAAUUCACACUAUUGACUGUCACGCCUGUACGCUUUGUCAAAAUUACACAAAAAUUGACACACACAUGUAUCUCAAUAAGAUCUACAAAAAAGUCCUGCGCGCGUAUCUAUCAAAUGUACGGUUAAAGGGUUAUUGCGCAUUUUUUGCCGAUACGCACACAUUGGAAUUUCGCUAACUCCUCCGAAGGCUUUCGUUCCACCGGCACCACAUUUGCUCAGGCCAAUCUACACCCCAUGGCCAUUAAAAGUUAUUCAAAUCAUGACGCUGCAUCCCAUGGUUUAGGUUCUAGGGGGCGCCAAAAAUAACCCAAAAAUCCACAUUCUUAAAUGUUUUAUAACUUUUUUUUUUUGUCCUCACUGGCCUCCAAGUUUUCUAGGAUGAUGCAAUGUCCAGCCAUCAACACAUUUGUGAAGGAAUUUUUACUCCCCAAAAGAGCGCCCCCCCAUGGUAGGAGAAAAAAGUCAAUUUUUUCUUGUCCCCUUACAUGAAAAUACACAUUGUUGAGUGUCACGCCUGAACGCUAUGUCAUAUUGACACAAAAAUUGAGAAUCAUGUGUAUCUCAAUUAGAUCUAUGAAAAAGUCAAAGAGCGCGUAUCUGUAUAAUGUACGGUUAAAGGGCUAUUUUGCAUUUUUUGCCGAUUCGCACACAUUGGAAUGUGGCUAUCUCCUCCUAAGGCUUUCGUCCCACCGAUACCAAAUUUGCUCAGGGCAAUCUACACCCCAUGCCCAUUCAAAGUUGUAAAAAUCAUGAUGCUGCACCCCACGGUUUACGUUCUAGGGGGCGCCAAAGAUGACCCAAAAAUCCACAUUCUUAAAAGUCAUUUUGGCCACUGCAGGAGUACAGAGUACUGCAGUUCUAGGGGGCGCCAAAGAUGACCCAAAAAUCCACAUUCUUAAAAGUCUUUUUGGCCACUGCAGGAGUACAGAGUACUGCAGGAUACACACACAUAUACACACACGCCAACAUACACACACACACAGACACACACACACACACACACACACACACACUCAGAGUCUGUUUUUUAGCACCUGCAAAAACAUGCUGUUUACAUAUUUGACAAGAAUGCAGAGGCUUCCUUUUGCCCCUGAAAAAAAUCAAAUUUCAAACACAACUUGACUGUUCAUUUCUCCAAAAGACAACCAUGAAGCUCCAUCCAAACCUGAAGCAGAUAGUUGGUGCAUGUGUACAGUAACCUGAGGGGAGUGAGGUGACUAUUUCUGAGGAGAACAUGAGCAGUGAAGAUUCACCUUGGAGCUAGAACAGGGACGUGCACAUGAUUAUACAGGGGCAGGGGCUCAAGUUUUUUCCAGUCAUUUAUACAAUAUGGAAAUUAAUGUGAAAUUAAACCACAAAUAUAUGUGAUGAACUGUUUUUAAAACUUAAACUUCAAAUAAAAAUUGUAAACUUCAAAACAUAUGCAAAUUUUUAACAAAGAACAUAGUAAUUUACCUCUAUUUACAUCAAAAUGCAGGCAAUGGCCCAGGCGUUCUUUGUAAAAUUAUUUACAAAACACUGUAUAGUCUCACAAAUGUCACUUUUUAUUUAUGCCACUACAAAAAAACAUGAUGUAAAUGAUGCAUGAUGUAAAACAUGAUGUAAGAAACUUGUGUAGAUCCUCCUCUAUGUUAGUCCAUGUGUAAUCUUUCCAUAAUUCUUUGUUUUUUGCAGCAUUUUUGUUAGUGUAACUGCAGAUUGUGCUGACAGUGUCUAUGGCAAAAAAAAAAAAAAAACUGAAAAUGCCUCAACAUGAACCCCUGGUGGUCUCUGAGGGUGAAACCUGCUAACUGCUGCAGCUCUGUCAGCUUUAGUCUCCCAUGCAGAGCUCGGAGCGCAUGUGUGGCUCUGCACCCUUAGCAGCGUUGCUAACUCCUCAGUAAGGAAAGCCUGCUUCAUGUCAGAGUCUCUAAACUCCAGAAGAAGUCGAUAAAAGUCCCUUUCUUUCUAAAAAAAAGUCGUUAGGGGGUCUGAAAAGUCAUUGAAUCUAACAACAAAGUCGCUAGGUUUGCAACUACGUGUCCCAGACUGCAUCCCUGCUGAGAGUCCCUCCCUCCCUUCUCAUGUUGCAGGAAGAACGUAAGCGCCCCCCUUGUCAAUCAGUCACCAUAUAAUUUUGGAUUGGUUGUUGUGGUGAAGUUUUCCACCAAUAGGAGAGAUGUUGUGGUGUGUUUUUUUUUUCUUUGGCAAGCCUUUUCCGCCUGUAAGACCUGUCGCUAAUGUCUGCAUGCUAUGUUUUCCUGUCUCAUACAGCGCGAUCGAGCGCCGAACGUGAUCAAAAUAAGCAGAAAAAAAGUAUCGCGGACAUAAUUUAUCAUAACUCUGGUUUUAUUUGGCCUAUCAACACAAUUUAAAAACUGGUAUAUAGGUUGAGGUCCUCACUUUUGAGAUAAGUUGAAACGGAGAGUCAACGAGGCUCCGUCUUGCUGCUACAUCCGGUUAAAUAUGUAAUGUGACUUGAACGCACACACAGACACACACACACGCACACACACACACACACACACUCAGAGUCUGGUUUUUAGCACCUGCAAAAACAUGCUAUUUACAUAUUUGACAAGAAUGCAGAGGCUCCUUUUGCCCCUGAAAAAAAUCAAAUUUCAAACACAACUUGACUGCUCAUUUCUCCAAAAGACAACCAUGAAGCUCCAUCCAAACCUGAAGCAGGCAGUUGGUGCAUGUGUACAGUAACCUGAGGGGAGUGAGGUGAGUGCUUCUGAGGAGAACAUGAGCAGUGAAGAUUCACCUUGGAGCUAGAACAGAGACAUGCACAUGAUUAUACAGGGGCAGGGGCUCAAGUUUUUUCCAGUCGUUUAUACAAUAUGGAAAUUAAUGUGAAAUUAAAACACAAAGUAUUAAUAGAAAGGUAAUGACUGUCCUGUGUAGGUGACAGUGAUAUCCAAUAGGCUAGGCACUCACGAGGCUGGCUGUGGCAAGUGUAAGUGAAAGCAACACGCACUGGCAGGAAGAACAGCAAACGCCGAUGAAGGAAAAGGGUCUUUGCAGUGAUGGGCGUUACCAGAGAGGGCGAUGGCCAGAGGACACAAAUGGGACGGGGAGGCAGCACGUUGGGGGGGGGGACGCGACACGGCUCGGGCCCGCCAGUGCCCCAACGGGGUCCUAGUUCUUCUUUUUCCUCCCCUUUGAACUGGAAAAUGGCCCACUUCCCACUGGCGAAAACUCAUGAAAUUUGGCAGGAUGACCGGGCCUGGUGAAAAAUUUGAUAUUCCGAAGUCGCCCAAACAAGAAAAUGCAAAAUGGCUCCAUAGCGCCCCCUAAGGUGAAAAUUCACACUAUUGACUGUCACGCCUUUACGCUUUGUCAUAUUGACACAAAAAUUGACACACACAUGUAUCUCAAUAAGAUCUACAAAAAAGUCAGUGCGGGCGUAUCUGUCAAAUGUACGGUUAAAGGGUUAUUUCCGCAUUUUUUGCCGAUCCGCACACAUUGGAAUUUCGCUAACUCCUCCGAAGGCUUUCGUUCCACCGGCACCACAUUUGCUAAGGCCAAUCUACACCCCAUGGCCAUUAAAAGUUAUUCAAAUCAUGACGCUGCACCCCACGGUUUAGGUUCUAGGGGGCGCCAAAGAUAACCCUAGAAUCCACAUAUUUAAAAGUCUUAUAACUUUUUAUUUUUGCCCUCACUGGCCUCCAAGUUUUCUAGGAUGAUGCAAUGUCCAGCCAUCAACACAUUUGUGAAGGAAUUUUUACUCCCCAAAAGAGCGCCCCCCCAUGGCAGGAGAAAAAAGUCCAUUUUUUCUUGUCCCCUAAGGUGAAAAUACACAUUGUUGAGUGUCACGCCUGUACGCUUUGUCAUAUUGACACAAAAUUUGACACACACAUGUAUCUCAAUAAGAUCUACGAAAAAGUCAAUGCGCACGUAUCUGUCAAAUGUACGGUUAAAGGGUUAUUCCGCAUUUUUUGCCUGAUACUCACACAUUGGAAUUUCGCUAACUCCUCCUAAGGCUGGCGUUCCACCGGCACCACAUUUGCUCAGGCCAAUCUACACCCCAUGGCCAUUAAAAGUUAUUCAAAUCAUGACGCUGCACCCCACGGUUUAGGUUCUAGGGGGCGCCAAAGAUAACCCUAAAAUCCACAUAUUUCAAAGUCUUAUAACUUUUUAUUUUUGUCCUCACUGGCCUCCAAGUUUUCUAGGAUGAUGCAAUGUCCAGCCAUCAACACAUUUGUGAAGGAAUUUUUACUCCCCAAAAGAGCGCCCCCCCAUGGCAGGAGAAAAAAGUCCAUUUUUUCUUGUCCCAUAAGGUGAAAAAACACAUUGUUGACUGUCAUACCUGUACGCUUUGUCAUAUUGACACAAAAUUUGACAAUCACAUGUAUCUCAAUAAGAUCUACGAAAAAGUCAAUGCGCGCGUAUCUGUAAAAUGUACGGUUAAAGGGCUAUUUUGCAUUUUUUGCCGAUUCGCACACAUUGGAAUUUCGCUAACUCCUCCGAAGGCUUUCGUUCCACCGGCACCACAUUUGCUCAGGCCAAUCUACACCCCGUGGCCAUUAAAAGUUAUCAAAAUCAUGACGCUGCACCCCACGGUUUAGGUUCUAGGGGGCGCCAAAGAUGACCCAAAUAUCCACAUUCUUAAAAGAAUCCACAUCCCCCCCCCAUCCCCCAACCCCCAUGGCAGGAGAAACAGUCAAGUUUUUCCUGCCCAUCACUCAAUGGCUCAAUCGCAUCACUCUCCCGGCAACACCGUAACGAGGAGCAACCUGCCAUUUGGAUAUAUCCUAGCUGUGUUUGUGCCCUCACUCAUGGUCCAGACUUUUUUCAAAUAGGACAUGAAGUUUGUCUGCAGCGAGUGUUUUGGUAGAAACUGCGCCUCCCAUUCAUUAUAAUGGGAAAUGACCACAGACAAGUGCGCACACCAUCUUUGGACCUUGAGUGUGACGCGAUCGGGAGGGGGAGGCGGUCGCGCUGGGGGCGGCGCGACGCGGCUCGGGCCCGACAGUGCCCCACCGGGGUCCUAGUUAGGGCCCGAGCGUAGCUGCUAAGCAGCUGCGAGAGCCCUAUUAUUCCCCAAGUGGUUUUUCUUUGUUUCUUUUUUCUUUUUCCUCCCCUUUGAACUGGAAAAUGGCCCACUUCCCACUGGCGAAAACUCAUGAAAUUUGGCAGGACGACCGGGCCUGGUGAAAAAUUUGAUAUUCUGAAGUCGCCCAAACAAUACAAUGCAAAAUGGCUCCAUAGCGCCCCCUAAGGUGAAAAAUUCACCUGACGCCUGUACGCUUUGUCAAAAUGACACAAAAAUUGACACACACAUGUAUCUCAAUAAGAUCUACAAAAAAGUCAGUGCGGGCGUAUCUGUCAAAUGUACGGUUAAAGGGUUAUUGCGCAUUUUUUGCCGAUCCGCACACAUUGGAAUUUCGCUAACUCCUCCGAAGGCUUUCGUUCCACCGGCACCACAUUUGCUCAGGCCAAUCUACACCCCAUGGCCAUUAAAAGUUAUUCAAAUCAUGACGCUGCACCCCACGGUUUAGGUUCUAGGGGGCGCCAAAGAUAACCCUAAAAUCCACAUAUUUCAAAGUCUUAUAACUUUUUAUUUUUGCCCUCACUGGCCUCCAAGUUUUCUAGGAUGAUGCAAUGUCCAGCCAUCAACACAUUUGUGAAGGAAUUUUUACUCCCCAAAAGAGCGCCCCCCCAUGGCAGGAGAAAAAAGUCAAUUUUUUCUUGUCCCAUAAGGUGAAAAUUCACACUAUUGACUGUCACGCCUGUACGCUUUGUCAAAAUUACACAAAAAUUGACACACACAUGUAUCUCAAUAAGAUCUACAAAAAAGUCCUGCGCGCGUAUCUAUCAAAUGUACGGUUAAAGGGUUAUUGCGCAUUUUUUGCCGAUACGCACACAUUGGAAUUUCGCUAACUCCUCCGAAGGCUUUCGUUCCACCGGCACCACAUUUGCUCAGGCCAAUCUACACCCCAUGGCCAUUAAAAGUUAUUCAAAUCAUGACGCUGCAUCCCAUGGUUUAGGUUCUAGGGGGCGCCAAAAAUAACCCAAAAAUCCACAUUCUUAAAUGUUUUAUAACUUUUUUUUUUUGUCCUCACUGGCCUCCAAGUUUUCUAGGAUGAUGCAAUGUCCAGCCAUCAACACAUUUGUGAAGGAAUUUUUACUCCCCAAAAGAGCGCCCCCCCUGGUAGGAGAAAAAAGUCAAUUUUUUCUUGUCCCCUUACAUGAAAAUACACAUUGUUGAGUGUCACGCCUGAACGCUAUGUCAUAUUGACACAAAAAUUGAGAAUCAUGUGUAUCUCAAUUAGAUCUAUGAAAAAGUCAAAGAGCGCGUAUCUGUAUAAUGUACGGUUAAAGGGCUAUUUUGCAUUUUUUGCCGAUUCGCACACAUUGGAAUGUGGCUAUCUCCUCCUAAGGCUUUCGUCCCACCGAUACCAAAUUUGCUCAGGGCAAUCUACACCCCAUGCCCAUUCAAAGUUGUAAAAAUCAUGAUGCUGCACCCCACGGUUUACGUUCUAGGGGGCGCCAAAGAUGACCCAAAAAUCCACAUUCUUAAAAGUCAUUUUGGCCACUGCAGGAGUACAGAGUACUGCAGUUCUAGGGGGCGCCAAAGAUGACCCAAAAAUCCACAUUCUUAAAAGUCUUUUUGGCCACUGCAGGAGUACAGAGUACUGCAGGAUACACACACAUAUACACACACGCCAACAUACACACACACACAGACACACACACACACACACACACACACACACUCAGAGUCUGUUUUUUAGCACCUGCAAAAACAUGCUGUUUACAUAUUUGACAAGAAUGCAGAGGCUUCCUUUUGCCCCUGAAAAAAAUCAAAUUUCAAACACAACUUGACUGUUCAUUUCUCCAAAAGACAACCAUGAAGCUCCAUCCAAACCUGAAGCAGAUAGUUGGUGCAUGUGUACAGUAACCUGAGGGGAGUGAGGUGACUAUUUCUGAGGAGAACAUGAGCAGUGAAGAUUCACCUUGGAGCUAGAACAGGGACGUGCACAUGAUUAUACAGGGGCAGGGGCUCAAGUUUUUUCCAGUCAUUUAUACAAUAUGGAAAUUAAUGUGAAAUUAAACCACAAAUAUAUGUGAUGAACUGUUUUUAAAACUUAAACUUCAAAUAAAAAUUGUAAACUUCAAAACAUAUGCAAAUUUUUAACAAAGAACAUAGUAAUUUACCUCUAUUUACAUCAAAAUGCAGGCAAUGGCCCAGGCGUUCUUUGUAAAAUUAUUUACAAAACACUGUAUAGUCUCACAAAUGUCACUUUUUAUUUAUGCCACUACAAAAAAACAUGAUGUAAAUGAUGCAUGAUGUAAAACAUGAUGUAAGAAACUUGUGUAGAUCCUCCUCUAUGUUAGUCCAUGUGUAAUCUUUCCAUAAUUCUUUGUUUUUUGCAGCAUUUUUGUUAGUGUAACUGCAGAUUGUGCUGACAGUGUCUAUGGCAAAAAAAAAAAAAAAACUGAAAAUGCCUCAACAUGAACCCCUGGUGGUCUCUGAGGGUGAAACCUGCUAACUGCUGCAGCUCUGUCAGCUUUAGUCUCCCAUGCAGAGCUCGGAGCGCAUGUGUGGCUCUGCACCCUUAGCAGCGUUGCUAACUCCUCAGUAAGGAAAGCCUGCUUCAUGUCAGAGUCUCUAAACUCCAGAAGAAGUCGAUAAAAGUCCCUUUCUUUCUAAAAAAAAGUCGUUAGGGGGUCUGAAAAGUCAUUGAAUCUAACAACAAAGUCGCUAGGUUUGCAACUACGUGUCCCAGACUGCAUCCCUGCUGAGAGUCCCUCCCUCCCUUCUCAUGUUGCAGGAAGAACGUAAGCGCCCCCCCCUUGUCAAUCAGUCACCAUAUAAUUUUGGAUUGGUUGUUGUGGUGAAGUUUUCCACCAAUAGGAGAGAUGUUGUGGUGUGUUUUUUUUUUUCUUUGGCAAGCCUUUUCCGCCUGUAAGACCUGUCGCUAAUGUCUGCAUGCUAUGUUUUCCUGUCUCAUACAGCGCGAUCGAGCGCCGAACGUGAUCAAAAUAAGCAGAAAAAAAGUAUCGCGGACAUAAUUUAUCAUAACUCUGGUUUUAUUUGGCCUAUCAACACAAUUUAAAAACUGGUAUAUAGGUUGAGGUCCUCACUUUUGAGAUAAGUUGAAACGGAGAGUCAACGAGGCUCCGUCUUGCUGCUACAUCCGGUUAAAUAUGUAAUGUGACUUGAACGCACACACAGACACACACACACGCACACACACACACACACACACUCAGAGUCUGGUUUUUAGCACCUGCAAAAACAUGCUAUUUACAUAUUUGACAAGAAUGCAGAGGCUCCUUUUGCCCCUGAAAAAAAUCAAAUUUCAAACACAACUUGACUGCUCAUUUCUCCAAAAGACAACCAUGAAGCUCCAUCCAAACCUGAAGCAGGCAGUUGGUGCAUGUGUACAGUAACCUGAGGGGAGUGAGGUGAGUGCUUCUGAGGAGAACAUGAGCAGUGAAGAUUCACCUUGGAGCUAGAACAGAGACAUGCACAUGAUUAUACAGGGGCAGGGGCUCAAGUUUUUUCCAGUCGUUUAUACAAUAUGGAAAUUAAUGUGAAAUUAAAACACAAAGUAUUAAUAGAAAGGUAAUGACUGUCCUGUGUAGGUGACAGUGAUAUCCAAUAGGCUAGGCACUCACGAGGCUGGCUGUGGCAAGUGUAAGUGAAAGCAACACGCACUGGCAGGAAGAACAGCAAACGCCGAUGAAGGAAAAGGGUCUUUGCAGUGAUGGGCGUUACCAGAGAGGGCGAUGGCCAGAGGACACAAAUGGGACGGGGAGGCAGCACGUUGGGGGGGACGCGACACGGCUCGGGCCCGCCAGUGCCCCAACGGGGUCCUAGUUAUUAUUUUUCCUCCCCUUUGAACUGGAAAAUGGCCCACUUCCCACUGGCGAAAACUCAUGAAAUUUGGCAGGACGACCGGGCCUGGUGAAAAAUUUGAUAUUCCGAAGUCGCCCAAACAAGAAAAUGCAAAAUGGCUCCAUAGCGCCCCCUAAGGUGAAAAUUCACACUAUUGACUGUCACGCCUAUACGCUUUGUCAAAAUGACACAAAAAUUGACACACACAUGUAUCUCAAUAAGAUCUACAAAAAAGUCAGUGCGGGCGUAUCUGUCAAAUUUACGGUUAAAGGGUUAUUUCGCAUUUUUUGCCGAUCCGCACACAUCGGAAUUUCGCUAACUCCUCCGAAGGCUUUCGUUCCACCGGCACCACAUUUGCUCAGGCCAAUCUACACCCCAUGGCCAUUAAAAGUUAUUCAAAUCAUGACGCUGCACCCCACGGUUUAGGUUCUAGGGGGCGCCAAAGAUAACCCUAAAAUCCACAUAUUUAAAAGUCUUAUAACUUUUUAUUUUUGUCCUCACUGGCCUCCAAGUUUUCUAGGAUGAUGCAAUGUCCAGCCAUCAACACAUUUGUGAAGGAGUUUUUUCUCGUUAAAAGAGCGCCCCCCCCAUGGCAGGAGAAUAAAGUCAAGUUUUUCCUGUUCAUCAUUCAAUGGCUCAAACGCACUGCUCUCUCGGCAAAAGCGAAAGGAGGAGCAACUUGCCAUUUGGAUAUAUCUUAGCUGUGUUUGUGCCCUCACUCAUGGUCCAGACUUUUUUCAAAUAGGACAUGGAGUUUUUCUGCAGCGAGCGUUUUGGUAGAAACUGCGCCUCCCGUUCAUUAUAAUGGUAAAUGACCACAAACAAGUGCGCACACCAUCUUUGGACCUUGAGUGUGACGCGAUCGGGUGGGGGAGGCGGUCGCGCUGGGGGCGGCGUGACACGGCUCGGGCCCGCCAGUGCCCCAACGGGGCCCUAGUGUUAUUAUUAUUAGGGCCCGAGCCAGCUGCAGAGCAGCCGGGCGUAGGCCCUGUUAUUCCUGUAGGGGUUUUUCUUUGUUUCUUUCUUUCUUCUUUUUCCUCCCCUUUGAACUGGAAAAUGGCCCACUUCCCACUGGCGAAAACUCAUGAAAUUUGGCAGGACGACCGGGCCUGGUGAAAAAUUCGAUAUUCUGAAGUCGCCCAAACAAUAAAAUGCAAAAUGGCUCCAUAGCGCCCCCUAAGGUGGAAAUUCACACUAUUGACUGUCACGCCUGUACGCUUUGUCAUAUUGACACAAAAAUUGACACACAUAUGUAUCUCAAUAAGAUCUACAAAAAAGUCAGUGCGGCCGUAUCUGUCAAAAUUACGGUUAAAGGGUUAUUUCGCAUUUUUGCCGAUCCGCACACAUUGGAAUUUCGCUAACUCCUCCGAAGGCUUUCGUUCCACCGGCACCACAUUUGCUCAGGCCAAUCUACACCCCGUGGCCAUUAAAAGUUAUCAAAAUCAUGACGCUGCACCUUAAGGUUUAGGUUCUAGGGGGCGCCAAAGAUAACACUAAAAUCCACAUAUUUAAAAGUCUUAUAACUUUUUAUUUUUGUCCUCACUGGCCUCCAAGUUUUCUAGGAUGAUGCAAUGUCCAGCCAUCAACACAUUUGUGAAGGAAUUUUUACUCCCCAAAAGAGCGCCCCCCCAUGGCAGGAGAAAAAAGUCCAUUUUUUCUUGUCCCCUAAGGUGAAAAUACACAUUGUUGAGUGUCACGCCUAUACGCUUUGUCAAAAUGACACAAAAAUUGACACACACAUGUAACUCAAUAAGAUCUACAAAAAAGUCCAUGCGCGCGUAUCUGUCAAAUGUACAGUUAAAGGGUUAUUCCGCAUUUUUUGCCGAUACGCACACAUUGGAAUUUCGCUAACUCCUCCGAAGGCUUUCGUUCCACCGGCACCACAUUUGCUCAGGCCAAUCUACACCCCAUGGCCAUUAAAAGUUAUUCAAAUCAUGAUGCUGCACCCCAUGGUUUAGGUUCUAGGGGGCGCCAAAAAUAACCCAAAAAUCCACAUUCUUAAAUGUUUUAUAACUUUUUAUUUUUGUCCUCACUGGCCUCCAAGUUUUCUAGGAUGAUGCAAUGUCCAGCCAUCAACACAUUUGUGAAGGAAUUUUUACUCCCCAGAAGAGCGCCCCCCCAUGGUAGGAGAAAAAAGUCAAUUUUUUCUUGUCCCCUUACAUAAAAAUACACAUUGUUGAGUGUCACGCCUGAACGCUUUGUCAUAUUGACACAAAAAUUGACAAUCAUGUGUAUCUCAAUUAGAUCUACGAAAAAGUCAAAGAGCGCGUAUCUGUAUAAUGUACGGUUAAAGGGCUAUUUUGCAUUUUUUGCCGAUUCGCACACAUUGGAAUGUGGCUAUCUCCUCCUAAGGCUUUCGUCCCACCGAUACCAAAUUUGCUCAGGGCAAUCUACACCCCAUGCCCAUUCAAAGUUGUAAAAAUCAUGACGCUGCACCCCACGGUUUACGUUCUAGGGGGCGCCAAAGAUGACCCAAAAAUCCACAUUCUUAAAAGUCAUUUUGGCCACUGCAGGAGUACAGAGUACUGCAGUUCUAGGGGGCGCCAAAGAUGACCCAAAAAUCCACAUUCUUAAAAGUCUUUUUGGCCACUGCAGGAGUACAGAGUACUGCAGGAUACACACACAUAUACACACACGCCAACAUACACACACACACACACACACACACACACAGACACACACACACACUCAGAGUCUGUUUUUUAGCACCUGCAAAAACAUGCUGUUUACAUAUUUGACAAGAAUGCAGAGGCUUCCUUUUGCCCCUGAAAAAAAUCAAAUUUCAAACACAACUUGACUGUUCAUUUCUCCAAAAGACAACCAUGAAGCUCCAUUUCAAACCUGAAGCAGAUAGUUGGUGCAUGUGUACAGUAACCUGAGGGGAGUGAGGUGACUAUUUCUGAGGAGAACAUGAGCAGUGAAGAUUCACCUUGGAGCUAGAACAGGGACGUGCACAUGAUUAUACAGGGGCAGGGGCUCAAGUUUUUUCCAGUCAUUUAUACAAUAUGGAAAUUAAUGUGAAAUUAAACCACAAAUAUGUGUGAUGAACUGUUUUUAAAACUUAAACUUCAAAUAAAAAUUGUAAACUUCAAAACAUAUGCAAAUUUUUAACAAAGAACAUAGUAAUUUACCUCUAUUUACAUCAAAAUGCAGGCAAUGGCCCAGGCGUUCUUUGUAAAAUUAUUUACAAAACACUGUAUAGUCUCACAAAUGUCACUUUUUAUUUAUGCCACUACAAAAAAACAUGAUGUAAAUGAUGCAUGAUGUAAAACAUGAUGUAAAAAACUUGUGUAGAUCCUCCUCUGUCAGUCCAUGUGUAAUUUUUCCAUAAUUCUUUGUUUUUUGCAGCAUUUUUGUUAGUGUAACUGCAGAUUGUGCUGACAGUGUCUAUGGCACAAAAAAAAAAAAUAAAUAAAAUGCCUCAACAUGAACCCCUGGUGGUCUCUGAGGGUGAAACCUGCUAACUGCUGCAGCUCUGUCAGCUUCAGUCUCCCAUGCAGAGCUCUGAGCGCAUGUGUGGCUCUGCACCCUUAGCAGCGUUGCUAACUCCUCAGUAAGGAAAGCCUGCUUCAUGUCAGAGUCUCUAAACUCCAGAAGAAGUCGAUAAAAGUCCCUUUCUUUCUAAAAAAAAGUCGUUAGGGGGUCUGAAAAGUCAUUGAAUCUAACAACAAAGUCGCUAGGUUUGCAACUACGUGUCCCAGACUGCAUCCCUGCUGAGAGUCCCUCCCUCCCUUCUCAUGUUGCAGGAAGAACGUAAGCGCCCGCCCCUUGUCAAUCAGUCACCAUAUAAUUUUGGAUUGGUUGUUGUGGUGAAGUUUUCCACCAAUAGGAGAGAUGUUGUGGUGUGUUUUUUUUUCUUUUGGCAAGCCUUUUCCGCCUGUAAGACCUGUCGCUAAUGUCUGCAUGCUAUGUUUUCCUGUCUCAUACAGCGCGAUCGAGCGCCGAACGUGAUCAAAAUAAGCAGAAAAAAAGUAUCGCGGACAUAAUUUAUCAUAACUCUGGUUUUAUUUGGCCUAUCAACACAAUUUAAAAACUGGUAUAUAGGUUGAGGUCCUCACUUUUGAGAUAAGUUGAAACGGAGAGUCAACGAGGCUCCGUCUUGCAGCUACAUCCGGUUAAAUAUGUCAUGUGACUUGAACGCACACACAGACACACACACACACACACACACACACACACACACACACACACACUCAGAGUCUGGUUUUUAGCACCUGCAAAAACAUGCUAUUUACAUAUUUGACAAGAAUGCAGAGGCUCCUUUUGCCCCUGAAAAAAAUCAAAUUUCAAACACAACUUGACUGGUCAUUUCUCCAAAAGACAACCAUGAAGCUCCAUCCAAACCUGAAGCAGGCAGUUGGUGCAUGUGUACAGUAACCUGAGGGGAGUGAGGUGAGUGCUUCUGAGGAGAACAUGAGCAGUGAAGAUUCACCUUGGAGCUAGAACAGAGACAUGCACAUGAUUAUACAGGGGCAGGGGCUCAAGUUUUUUCCAGUCGUUUAUACAAUAUGGAAAUUAAUGUGAAAUUAAAACACAAAGUAUUAAUAGAAAGGUAAUGACUGUCCUGUGUAGGUGACAGUGAUAUCCAAUAGGCUAGGCACUCACGAGGCUGGCUGUGGCAAGUGUAAGUGAAAGCAACACACACUGGCAGGAAGAACAGCAAACGCCGAUGAAGGAAAAGGGUCUUUGCAGUGAUGGGCGUUACCAGAGAGGGCGAUGGCCAGAGGACACAAAUGGGACGGGAAGGCAGCACGUUGGGGGGGGGACGCGACACGGCUCGGGCCCGCCAGUGCCCCAACGGGGUCCUAGUUAUUAUUUUUCCUCCGCUUUAAACUGGAAAAUGGCCCACUUCCCACUGGCGAAAACUCAGGAAAUUUGGCAGGACGACCGGGCCUGGUGAAAAAUUCGAUAUUCUGAAGUCGCCCAAACAAUAAAAUACAAAAUGGCUCCAUAGCGCCCCCUAAGGUGAAAAUUCACACUAUUGACUGUCACGCCUGUACGCUUUGUCAUAUUGACACAAAAAUUGACACACACAUGUAUCUCAAUAAGAUCUACAAAAAAGUCAGUGCGGGCGUAUCUGUCAAAUGUACGGUUAAAGGGUUAUUGCGCAUUUUUUGCAGAUCUGCACACAUUGGAAUUUCGCUAACUCCUCCGAAGGCUUUCGGUCCACCGGCACCACAUUUGCUCAGGCCAAUCUACACUCCAUGGCCAUUCAAAGUUGUACAAAUCAUGAUGCUGCACCCCAUGGUUUAGGUUCUAGGGGGCGCCAAAAAUAACCCUAAAAUCCACAUUCUUAAAAGUUUUAUAACUUUUUAUUUUUGCCCUCACUGGCCUCCAAGUUUUCUAGGAUGAUGCAAUGUCCAGCCAUCAACACAUUUGUGAAGGAAUUUUUACUCCCCAAAAGAGCGCCCCCCAUGGCAGGACAAAAAAGUCAAUUUUUUCUUGUCCCCUAAGGUGAAAAUACACAUUGUUGAAUGUCACGCCUGUACGCUUUGUCAUAUUGACACAAAAUUUGAUAAUCACGUGUAUCUCAAUAAGAUCUACGAAAAAGUCAAUGCGCGCGUAUCUGUAAAAUGUACGGUUAAAG